rnacentral:rRNA from 1 species
UACGAAGGGAGCUAGCGUUGUUCGGAAUUACUGGGCGUAAAGGCGCGUAGGCGGCCAUUCAAGUGACGGGUGAAAGCCCUCGGCUUAACCGAGGAACUGCCUGUCAGACUGGAUGGCUUGAGACCGGGAGAGGUGAGUGGAAUUCCCAGUGUAGCGGUGAAAUGCGUAGAUAUUGGGAGGAACACCAGUGGCGAAGGCGGCUCACUGGACCGGAACUGACGCUGAGGCGCGAAAGCGUGGGGAGCAAACAGG